rfam:Helianthus annuus linkage group 3, whole genome shotgun sequence.
AGACCGUGAUGCGAGCAUUUCUUUAAUAACUCCUUGAACUUUUCCCAUGUCUCAUACAAAGACUGCCCGUCCUCUUGAGAGUAUGAAUUAACUUCGGUCAUGAGUUU